rnacentral:lncRNA from 1 species
GGCCCUAAAAAGACCAAAAAAAAAAAAAAAAAAAAAGGGCAGCUGAGUGAUGUCAGGCUGUGGGGUGGUAUUAGGUGGGGUGAGUGCCCUGGCUGAUUUUGAGAAGUUGUACCCCCAUCUGUAGGGCAUUUCAUUGUGCUAUGUUAGAGCACCAUUGACGGGAACACUGAAAGUGCCCACCUGGACCAGGCGGCAUACUAGCUGCUUGCAUGUGUUGUCUCACAGCAGGAGGCCCUGAGAAUCAACAUGUGCUGCCCUGAAGACUAACCAGGAGGAUUUGGGAGGGGCCGCUAGAAGGAAGGAGAUGACCAGCCUCCCAGGAUCCUUGGUGCCGGAGUCCAUCUUGGCUGAGAGGGAAAAACUCAGCCUCCAAGAUCGUCACUGAGUUCCAAAGGAGCUAAACCCCCAACAAAUGGAAAACUGGAGAGGAGGACCACCAGCACCAGUCCUGGGGCUGCCGAACACCAACUUUGAAGAAGAAUGCAAGCUUGCAUCUACCCUGAUCCUUACCUGUGGCCCUAUUUUCUACUGCCACACUGUGUAAAAUCCCUUCCUGAUCUCUCCCAAGGUGGGGCACAGUCUUUAGGGCAUUAGCCUGCUGUGGCCUCCUUUGCUUGGCAAAGCAAUAAAGCUAUUUUUUUUCUCUUUCAC